rnacentral:miRNA from 1 species
UAAUGACGAAAUGUCUCA